rnacentral:rRNA from 1 species
UGGCUCAGGAUGAACGCUAGCGGCAGGCCUAAUACAUGCAAGUCGAACGGGAUUGAGAGCUUGCUUUCAUGAGAGUGGCGUACGGGUGCGUAACGCGUAUGCAACCUACCUUCAUCAGGGGGAUAGCCCGAAGAAAUUCGGAUUAACACCGCAUAAAAACACAGCUUGGCAUCAAGCAAUGUUCAAAUAUUUAUAGGAUGAAGAUGGGCAUGCGUGUCAUUAGCUAGUUGGUAAGGUAACGGCUUACCAAGGCUACGAUGACUAGGGGAUCUGAGAGGAUGACCCCCCACACUGGUACUGAGACACGGACCAGACUCCUACGGGAGGCAGCAGUAAGGAAUAUUGGUCAAUGGAGGCAACUCUGAACCAGCCAUGCCGCGUGCAGGAAGACUGCCUUAUGGGUUGUAAACUGCUUUUAUACGGGAAUAAACCUUAAUUCGUGAAUUAAGCUGAAUGUACCGUAAGAAUAAGGAUCGGCUAACUCCGUGCCAGCAGCCGCGGUAAUACGGAGGAUCCAAGCGUUAUCCGGAUUUAUUGGGUUUAAAGGGAGCGUAGGCGGCUUGUUAAGUCAGGGGUGAAAGACGGUGGCUCAACCAUCGCAGUGCCUUUGAUACUGACGAGCUUGAAUAUAGUUGAGGUAGGCGGAAUGUGACAAGUAGCGGUGAAAUGCAUAGAUAUGUCACAGAACACCGAUUGCGAAAGGCAGCUUACUAAGCUAUUAUUGACGCUGAGGCUCGAAAGCGUGGGGAUCAAACAGGAUUAGAUACCCUGGUAGUCCACGCCCUAAACGAUGAUAACUCGAUGUUGGCGAUAUACAGUCAGCGUCCAAGCGAAAGCGUUAAGUUAUCCACCUGGGGAGUACGCCCGCAAGGGUGAAACUCAAAGGAAUUGACGG